rnacentral:rRNA from 1 species
UGCGUAGGUGGCUUAACAGGUUGGUAGUGAAAUUCCGAGGCUUAACUUCGGCGCUACUACCAAGACUGUUGAGCUUGAGUACAGGAGAGGUAAGUGGAAUUCCUAGUGUAGCGGUGGAAUGCGUAGAUAUUAGGAGGAACACCAGUGGCGAAGGCGACUUACUGGCCUGCAACUGACACUGAGGCACGAAAGCGUGGGGAGCAAACA